UGGCAACAGUGUCAAAGUACAAGAGUUUAUUAGAAAGGAAGAAAACCAGGACAGGAAUGAUGAAGCUCAGUCAAAGUCGUGGAGGUGGACUGGUCAUCUCACAAAAACAAGUGAGCCAGGUACUUGGAGACAACAUGGGAGUGCCCCCUACCGCCCAGGCCAUGGCUGACCUACAGGCACUAGCCGGAGCAUUGCUGGACACAGUCAAUGAUAAGAACAUGGCACUGUCCCACCAACGCAAGAC